AGAGCGAACGCUGGCGGCAGGCCUAACACAUGCAAGUCGAACGGACCCUUCGGGGUUAGUGGCGGACGGGUGAGUAACACGUGGGAACGUGCCUUUAGGUUCGGAAUAGCUCCUGGAAACGGGUGGUAAUGCCGAAUGUGCCCUUCGGGGGAAAGAUUUAUCGCCUUUAGAGCGGCCCGCGUCUGAUUAGCUUGUUGGUGGGGUAAUGGCCCACCAAGGCUACGAUCAGUAGCUGGUCUGAGAGGAUGACCAGCCACAUUGGGACUGAGACACGGCCCAAACUCCUACGGGAGGCAGCAGUGGGAAUCUUGCGCAAUGGGCGAAAGCCUGACGCAGCCAUGCCGCGUGUAUGAUGAAGGUCUUAGGAUUGUAAAAUACUUUACACCGUGAAGAUAAUGACUGUAGCCGGAGAAGAAGCCCCGGCUAACUUCGUGCCAGCAGCCGAC
rnacentral:rRNA from 1 species